rnacentral:rRNA from 1 species
GUAUGUCGCAAGCGUUAACCGGAUUUAUUGGGCGUAAAGCGCGUCUAGGUGGAUUGGUAAGUCUGAUGUGGAAAUGCGGGGCUCAACUCCGUAUUGCGUUGGAAACUGCCAAACUAGAGUACUGGAGAGGUGGGCGGAACUACAAGUGUAGAGGUGAAAUUCGUAGAUAUUUGUAGGAAUGCCGAUAGAGAAGUCAGCUCACUGGACAGAUACUGACACUGAAGCGCGAAAGCAUGGGGAGCAAA